UGCGAAUGGCUCAUUAAAUCAGUUAUCGUUUAUUUGAUGGUACCUUACUACUUGGAUAACCGUGGUAAUUCUAGAGCUAAUACAUGCUGAAAACCCCGACUUCGGGAGGGGUGUAUUUAUUAGAUAAAAAACCAACGCCCUUCGGGGCUCCUUGGUGAUUCAUGAUAACUUCUCAGAUCGCAUGGCCUUGCGCCGGCGACGGUUCAUUCAAAUUUCUGCCCUAUCAACUUUCGAUGGUAAGGUAUUGGCUUACCAUGGUUUCAACGGGUAACGGGGAAUUAGGGUUCGAUUCCGGAGAGUGAGCCUGAAAGACAGCUCACACAUCCAAGGAAGGCAGCAGGCGCGCAAAUUACCCAAUCCCGACACGGGGAGGUAGUGACAAUAAAUACUGAUACAGGGCUCUUUUGGGUCUUGUAAUUGGAAUGAGUACAAUUUAAACCUCUUAACGAGGAACAAUUGGAGGGCAAGUCUGGUGCCAGCAGCCGCGGUAAUUCCAGCUCCAAUAGCGUAUAUUAAAGUUGUUGCAGUUAAAAAGCUCGUAGUUGAACCUUUGGCCUGGCUGGCAGGUCCGCCUCACCGCGUGCACUUGUCCGGCCGGGCCUUCUCUUCUGGAGAACCGCAUGCCCUUCACUGGGUGUGCUGGGGACCAGGACUUUUACUUUGAAAAAAUUAGAGUGUUCAAAGCAGGCCUUUGCUCGAAUACGUUAGCAUGGAAUAAUAGAAUAGGACGUGCGGUCCUAUUUUGUUGGUUUCUAGGACCGCCGUAAUGAUUAAUAGGGACAGUCGGGGGCAUCAGUAUUCAAUUGUCAGAGGUGAAAUUCUUGGAUUUAUUGAAGACUAACUACUGCGAAAGCAUUUGCCAAGGAUGUUUUCAUUAAUCAGUGAACGAAAGUUAGGGGAUCGAAGACGAUCAGAUACCGUCGUAGUCUUAACCAUAAACUAUGCCGACUAGGGAUCGGGCGGUGUUUUUAUUUU
rnacentral:rRNA from 1 species